rnacentral:lncRNA from 1 species
UGGGGCUGCUGGCGUCCCGGGCGUCCUCCUCCAUCAUGUCUUGGCCGAGCUCCCCAUCCCUUUGCUUAAAUACUGCUGCUGUAAUCCCUGCUGUUCUCAAGUUUUAGUUGUUUCACUUGGUGUCUUAGCGGUUCGUGUUUGUAAGUCUAAGCUCCUCUUCCCAGCCACCAACUCGAUCUGCCCUAGUCUUCCCAUCUCCUACUUAAGUCAAGGUCCAGUAGGCCGUGCAGUCCUAGAGCUCGAGUGAUCUCCUUGGCUCUUGUAGCCUAUGUUUCCCCGGAGUUAAUCCCCUCCCAAUAUCUUGGUCCAUCUGCCCAGAGCUUGGUGUACCAGUCCCUAGGUGGUGACCAUCGUCGGCUGUUAGUCCACCUCGCCGUGACCAGGUAACUUCAAGGGUUUCCUCAGUCGAGUUGUGCAUAUUUUGUGCUCUACAUAAGGUAGAGAAGCUCAUAUGAUGGUAAACCAUUCUCCUUAAGUAGGUUUGGUUUGGGGUGUAUGGAAAAUAGAGUGAAAGCUGCCCAAAAAUGGACUGUGAGUUUGCACUGACUGAAUUUUUGUUCAGAUUAGCUGAAAACUGGAUUGCAGCAGAUUGCUCAGUUUGGAGCUCUCCUAUGACCAGUUCAUGAGGUUUUGGGUUACCAGUUGUAUAGAAAAGUCAAAGACCAGAUGAAGGUGAACAAGCUUCAUCAGAGGAGUGGGGCUUACUACUGUGUAAAAUAUGGAGAAAUAUGUGCUGCAAUUUUCUAUGUCAGGUGUUGUGUUCAGGUCUUUUUCAGUUAGCUGAAAUUUAGCCUUUGCGUUUCCACCUCAAGUUUGGUGCUCUGUAACUUGAGAUCUGUUUAGGGUUAGCUAGUAGCUGUUGUAACAAAGAUGGAGAGAGAUUAUAGAGGAACCAUUCAUAGUAAGGAAAUACAUUGAGCCCUCAUAUGGAAUUGCGAGAAAAUAGUGUUACAAAACCCUCUGUCAGACUUGGAGUGGGCUGUUUCAGCUAACUGAAAACCGGUUCAGGGUGUUGUUUAGUCAACUUUGGAGCUCUAUGGUAAUUAAUAAAACCAGAAUUGGGUUAAGAGUUUUAUAGAAAGGUGAAAGACCAAGUGUAGGAGAACCAGUUUUAUACAAGUAGAUUGGCUUGUUGAUUUAUGGAAUUUAGAGAAAAGCCUGUUGCAAAACUCUCUGACAGACAUGGUAAGGUGCUGUUUCAGAUCGAGGAACUGAACUUUUCAGUGUUUUGCUCUAACUUUUGUGCACCAUAGCUACUGUUCUAAGUAUUUUCAGCUUAGGGGUUUUAUACCAAAUGGGAAGGGCUAUAGUAGGAGAGUAAUAUUGGUUCACAAAGGUUGGUUGGUUGUUGAGAAGAAUUGUUAGAUAUCUGGGCUUGAACAAAGAAGAAAGCAAAAGGGAGCAUUAUUGCUAAUGAACUGGAUUCAGUUAACUGAAAACUGGAAUUUCAUUGUUGGUGCUCAGCUUGGAGCUCUUUGGUGACCAAAUCAUGGGGUUUUAGGUUAGGAGUUCCAUAACAAAGUGAAAUACCAAGGUAAGGCAAACAAGUUUCAUGUGAAUAGUUGGGCUUGUUACGGUGAAGAAAUUGGGGAGAGGAAUGGAGCAAUGGAAGAUGAAUUCAGAGAACUGAAAGCAGGUUCAGUGAAUUGUGGAUGAUUCUUGGACACUAUAACUUGUAGUGCAUGCAGUUUGGAUCCUUGCUUAAGGCAUAAAUGAAGUGCUUGGUUGGUUAUGGAGGCAAGGUUUCCUAGUUUAGUUGGUGAAUUGAGUUGUGAUAUUAGAGUAUUUAGCUCUCUUAAGGUUUUAUUAGUUUUUGUGUGCACGUUUAGAAAAGUGUAAGUCUUGUGAUGCUUUUUAGUAUUUUCUUGUCAAGUUGCAUCAGCAUAAGCAUUCAUGUUCAUAUCUUUACAUGUAGAAUUCCUAGAAGAAGAAGAUGAAAUUCAAGAAGUGGUUUCUGAAGAGGAGUCUGCUUCAGUGCCUGCUCAUCAAGUGAUGGGAGCCAUCUAACUAGGGUUUAAUAGAGGGAUUUAGACCUCUGUCUCUGCAACAAAGGCAAGCCUUGGUGCAUUUGCCACCUUCCUUGUAUUAUAAAAUUUUAUCACUUAUAUGUUGCAUUAGGUGAUAUGAGUUGAAUGAUUCAACACUUGAUGCAUUGCCAUCCUUGAAAGAUUGAUUAUCAUACCUUGUUACCUGUUUUAUAAAAACUAGUAAUGCUUAGUCAUGCUUAUAGAUUAAGAAAAAUAUUUUUGAUCUAUGACUCAUUAUUUUUUUAAAAAGAAAAAGGGCUUGGGAUGAUGGAGGCAUCCUCCGCGGGGAUGAAUUCAUCAUUCAAGCAGGGUACCUCUGCCAGGUAUCAAACUUUGAAAAUUUGUUUAAAAUGAGACCAGACGUUGAGCUGGACAGGUCGCCUGUCUGUGUCGAUCAAAGACCGUACCGAUUGUAGGCCUGUUGAUCUAGGACCUUUUAACUGGCCACAUACCUCGUCAUGGGUAAGCCUGAACCCGACUACUCCAUAUGUGAAAAUACAAUCGCGCACUGGGAGUGGAGAGAUGGCGGGAGUGGCGUGUACCUACCUGACACGUGGCUGGAUGGUGGAGUACCGUACUCUCGGGUGGCGCGGACCGGUUCACGUAGUGGAGGACCCGUGGGAAUGGUAGACAUAUGCAAGGGUUAAGUGCUACAUAUGUCGUGUGGUUGGUGAUCCCCAGAUGGGUAUUAAUCGAUUCGAAUCGCCGUUACUUCUCGGUUAUGAAGACUGGAUCACUGCUCUGCAUCGUAGAUAACAAGAGAAACAAAAUUUGGAUUUUAAAAGCAACCUAGUGUAGGUCAAGUGAAUGAUCUAGAUUAGGAAAAUGCUAGAUUCAGGCUAGAAGAUUCAGGUAAUAAACUAACUUGUGAAAUAAAACUUGGCUUAAGGACCCACUUCUAGUAAGCUUUUCUGCAAAAUGAGUCCUUGAACUUUGAUGAGCUUUACCUUGAUUCCCAAAAGCCAGCAUACCCUUGAGAGUCUUUUCUUUAGUCGGGUAAGUCUUGCUGAGUAAUUGCGUACUCAGGGUUUUAUCCCUUGUUGUUUUUGUAGGAGAAGUUUUAUUCCCUUAUCUUUGGGUUAGUUACUUCAUGUAGAGGACUUGAAGCUUAGAAUGUUUUUAUAUAUCUCUUAUGGAAAGGUUUCACCCUUCCAAUUAUUGUAAUAAGUUAUGCACUUCGAGUACUAUCAGGACUUGUAAUAAAUACAUCUCUUUCUACCAUGUAAAACUUGAGUUCUGGAAUGUAAAGUGUACUUUGUAAAAGUCUUCCGCUCUAUCUUCAAUGUGUGUGUAUCAAAUGUGAU